UGGCACUUUACAUAUGUCUGAUGCUGUUUACUGUAUCAUAUGAUCUUGUAUUUUUUUUUUCUUUUUUAAAUUUUUUAUUUUUACAUGACAAAAACAGUGGCAUAGAAAUCGCAUUUCGUCUUGCACAGAAGCCCCUAUACAACGGUCUAAGCAAAGCACGUUUCCCACCCUGAGGUUACACCCAGAUGUGGGAUUGCUCCGUGGCUAUAUGUCACCGUCCAUCACGGUUUUGACCAUAUAUAGGCCUGGUUUUCUUAGAUCCCCUGUUAUGUGUGCCCUCUCAUCUAUCUUUCGCACCGCCAGUGUAGUGUCAAACCAUCGAGUUCAUGGCUAUCGGGCUACUAACGUCUGACCACUGUUGAUAUUUCUUGUUGUUGUCGC